AUUCUGAGCUUUCUGAAGUAAUUUAUUUUAAAUUGUCUUAUAAUACCACCAUUCAAAGAAUUUGACGAUCGUCAGUUACCCACUAUACGAGAAGUUAAGAAAUUUAUUUUAUUUGUCAAGAACGACUUAAAAUUGAAAUACACGGAUCCGUCUAAUUCAGAGAUAUUCCAAGAGUAAACAAAAUGAUAGUUUUGGAGGAAAACUUCAGUGUCUUUUCAACUGUCUGAGAAACUUUUAGAUGGCCCCGCUUGCAAAUGCUAUUUAUGGGAUCUUGCUCGUGUGCAAAAUCUCAUAAAGUUCCAGUUAAUGAGGGAAGAUCUUUUGGCGGAUCAAGGAAGUGACCGGAAAAUGAUUAUAGGCGGUGUGGAUAAAAAAAAACUCUAAGAUUAAUAAAAAGACAAUAUGAAAAUGGAACAAAUGGAAAAUUCAACGAGGUCCGCAAAAAAGUGUGUUGCCUUGAAAAAAGCAAUGUUUUUCCUCAG